ensembl:miRNA
AAACUGUCUGCGGCCAUACCACCCUGAAUGCGCCCAAUCUCGUCUGAUCUCAGAAGCUAAGCAGGGUUGGGCCUGGUUAGUACUCGAAUGG